rnacentral:tRNA from 1 species
AUGGUCUAGUUGGUUAUGACGACUGCCUAACACGCAGUAGGUCCCGAGUUCGAUUCUCGGUUCCAGUA